CCGGGAACAUUUCUCCCUGGCAGGUCCUAAAGAGCAGCUGCUGUAAUUACCAGGGAUUGACACCUGUUACGGAUUUACUGGCACUGGCCCCUUGCCUGGCAUCUCCCAUUUAACUCAAAAUCAUCCUCCAAGGGCGUGGAAGCACUGCUGCAUUUUCCAGAUGAGAAAAUUGAGGGUCCGUGAGGCAUGGCAACUAGCCAGGGCACACGGCUAGUAACUGGUAGCAGGGCUGGCUACGUAAUUUGUGAGGCCCAGUGAAAUAUGCAAGUGCUGGGCUUUUUCUUCAAAACAUUAAGGAUUUCAAGGCAGCAAUGGCAGAACAUAAAAUCAAGUAUGUGCUACUGCAUAGGUCCUGGCAGGGAUGUGGACCCACGUCGAAGGAUUUGAAGGAUUGCGGAACCUGUUACUUAACACCGCCCGCUCCCUUCCAAGCUCCACCCCCUCACCUGCCUCGGGGCCUCUUCGCUGCUGCUGCUCAGGUUCUUUCUCUUCUCCCUUCCACUAGCCGAUCCCAGCCCUGCAAACUGCAGACUCCGCCCUUCUCUAUUACAGCCUGGGAGGAACUUCAGCAGAGAGAACACCAAGGCCGAGAGAGGCAGGCCCUGCCGAGGUUUCCCAGCCGGAUGGAACUCCAUGGCGAUGUGGGGGAGCACUGAGGGCAGGGAACAGAAUGGGUUCAGGGGCCCAGCAGGCCUGGGGUCAUAUCACGCCUCAUCCGUGCUCCAGGGUGAUAUUGGCCAUGUCACCUUCCUGCUCUAAGCUUCAGUCAUGAGGUCAUCCAGCAAAGACUAGUCUGUUGGAAUGGUGGCCCAGAGCAGAGGAGGAGCUGGAGAAAUAAAUACCCUGACCUGUC